rnacentral:rRNA from 1 species
UACGUAGGCAGCAAGCGUUUGUUCGGAGUUACUGGGCGUAAAGGGUGUGUAGGCGGUUUUCUAAGUCUGGUGUGAAAUCUCCCGGCUCAACUGGGAGGUGCGCCGAAAACUGGAAGGCUAGAGUGCGGGAUGGGAGAGUGGAAUUCCUGGUGUAGCGGUGAAAUGCGUAGAUAUCGUAAGGAAGACCAGUGGCGAAGGCGGGUCUCUGG